rnacentral:ribozyme from 1 species
AAAAUUAAGAAAGAAGAACGAGGAGCUUGUAAGAACUAGGAAAUCUCACAUUUGAAUGGCAUCUUCUUCUGAGUUCUUUUUGUGGUUCAAUGUUAUUUCCUUCAUAUGCCUUCUUUUGUUUGUGUGCGAAUGGUUUCCAGAAAUUGGGGGAUG